GACGAACGCUGGCGGCGUGCUUAACACAUGCAAGUCGAACGGAAAGGCCCUGCUUUUGUGGGGUGCUCGAGUGGCGAACGGGUGAGUAACACGUGAGUAACCUGCCCUUGACUUUGGGAUAACUUCAGGAAACUGGGGCUAAUACCGGAUAGGAGCUCCUGCUGCAUGGUGGGGGUUGGAAAGUUUCGGCGGUUGGGGAUGGACUCGCGGCUUAUCAGCUUGUUGGUGGGGUAGUGGCUUACCAAGGCUUUGACGGGUAGCCGGCCUGAGAGGGUGACCGGCCACAUUGGGACUGAGAUACGGCACAGACUGCUACGGGAGGCAGCAGUGGGGAAUAUUGCACAAUGGGCGGAAGCCUGAUGCAGCAACGCCGCGUGCGGGAUGACGGCCUUCGGGUUGUAAACCGCUUUCGCAUGUGACGAAGCGUGAGUGACGGUAAUGGGUAAAGAAGCACCGGCUAACUACGUG
rnacentral:rRNA from 1 species